UACGGGGGGGCAAGCGUUGUUCGGAAUUACUGGGCGUAAAGGGCUCGUAGGUGGCCAACUAAGUCAGACGUGAAAUCCCUCGGCUUAACCGGGGAACUGCGUCUGAUACUGGAUGGCUUGAGUUUGGGAGAGGGACGCGGAAUUCCAGGUGUAGCGGUGAAAUGCGUAGAUAUCUGGAGGAAUACCGGUGGCGAAGGCGGCAUCCUGGACCAUUACCGAGCUGAGGCGCGAAAGCUAGGGGAGCAAACGGGG
rnacentral:rRNA from 1 species